rnacentral:rRNA from 1 species
UACGGAGGGUGCAAGCGUUAUCCGGAUUCACUGGGUUUAAAGGGUGCGUAGGCGGGCAGGUAAGUCCGUGGUGAAAUCUCUGAGCUUAACUCAGAAACUGCCAUGGAUACUAUUUGUCUUGAAUAUUGUGGAGGUAAGCGGAAUAUGUCAUGUAGCGGUGAAAUGCUUAGAUAUGACAUAGAACACCAAUUGCGAAGGCAGCUUACUACACAGUAAUUGACGCUGAGGCACGAAAAGCGUGGGGAUCAAACAGG